GCGUGCGAGGGAAGGCUUCCGGCCCUUUCUGAGGGGUGGUGCGGGCCCGGAGCCUCCAGGGAAGCUGACGGUCACUGGGGGCCGGGGUGUUAGGGAGUACCCGCGCUGAGGGGGCUGCAGGUGCUUCUGCAGCCCGCGGGCCGCUCCUGCGUCUCGCAUGCCAACGCUGGUCUCUGCGUCCCACUCCUCCGCCACAGGGAGCGAAUGGGUCUUUCUCUCGGCUCCUGCGGGGCAUCACUCGCCUGCAGGUCUUUGCCGGUCCUUUCUCAGGAGCUGCUAAGUUUUCCUGCUUCGGCACGCCUUGCCUUCCAUUGCUUAGUAUCCUUCACAUCAUGUCGUCUCACACCCUGCACAUCUGGCGCGUCUCUGAGUGCAAUAAUUACGUACCAUGGCCUUGAAGCUCAGCUUCUUGCUGCUUCCUUCAUUUCUUUGGUUAUUUUUCGCUUCCCACGUGUAUCAAUAAGCAUCAUAGCUUUUCAUCACUUAAACAUCAUAGCUUUUUCUUCCUCAGUAUCUUGGCAUCCUUGUAACAAAGUGCUUUAGAUUUUUAUAAUACCCUCUUUUGAUUACUGUAGUGCUGUCUUUUGUGUCAUUUUGCAUUGAAUUUUUUAAUUCUAAAUGAUUAUUAAUUUUCCACGCUCUCUAGUUACAAUGGUUGGGUAUUGUCUCUGAGUUCCGUCACUUGCCCAUAAUUUUUGUUUAAAUUGUUCCUUAUUUUCUAGGUUCUCAAACCUCUUGCACAUUAAACUCGUAUUCUAUUGAAUAAUUCAUGGCCACUUUUUGGGAUGUUGGAUGAGUUCAUAUUGCUACAACUUGUUCUUCCCAACCUUUAUUUCCCUUCCCACUGACGAGUCUAAGCUUGAAUGUCUGUGUGUGUCGAAACAGAGGGGAGGGAGGGGAGAAGUUAGUUCACAUCUGUUGUUACAGAUGCAUGAAAGAACUCUACCCAGUGAUCAGGUCUCUUUUAUUCAGUGUUCUAUGCAAAUGUAAUUGGAACACUUCCUUUAAUUUCUCCUUGAAGUUUUCAGUCUUACAGUGCUCAUAAAAUUUUUAACCUUUUCUUUCAGUCUGCCUCUUUGACUACAACAAGUUCAGGUAAUCUAACUGGUAGUAAGGUUUGUUUUGUAGCUGUACAAAUUUUCAUAGCUUGAAGUUGCUCUGAAUUGGCUUUUUUUGUUCAGCGUGUGGUUGAAGUCUUUUGUUUUGGAGGGUUCUUUUUGUUGCCUUGUCACUCUCAGGAUGUGAUCACAUCAUGAUCAGGAUGGUGCUGAAGUGGAUUUUUAAGAAUCUCCAGAAAUCUUGCCUUGUGAAUGCAAAAUUAAAGUUUGUUAGUACACCUGAAGUCUAAAUUCUAUUUCUUCUUAUUCUAUAUAAAUUUCUAUGCUGCUGUUCUUACAAUAUCUGAUUUUCUUUCAGCUGCUGAUUAAAUAACUUGUCAUGUGUUCAUUAUCAUUUUGUCCCUAGUUGAAAACCCCUCUUAUUUUAAUGACCUGUUUUGUUCAGAGUUUAUGCAUUGACUUUAUUCAUCAAAGAGACAUUUCAAAUAAUGCAGUUUUCAUUCCUGAUUCCACCUUUUAUUCAGUCAGUUGAAAUUAUUCAGACCUUUGCUUCGUUCUUUUCACUCUUAAAGCCUCAGUGGUUGGUUAUGUGUGGGGUAUUUAUUUUGUCUACAGAGCUCUCUGUUGGGAAAGAUGUACAAUAACAAGUUUUACAGGCUUACCUGGAAAAGAUUUUCAGGGCUCUAAGAAUGUUCUAAAAUGUGUAAAGGAUUAGGUCUUUGUACAGUAUUAGAAUUCUGCAAUUUAAAAUCUAAACAACUCACGUUGUUUUGAGCUCUCUGCUGUCAUCUGGACUUCUCUUGUAUGUGUAAAAUAUAUUUCUAGAAGAAAAUAUAUAAAUAUAACCAAAUAGUAUAAACAUAUACUAUCUGAUUUCUUUAAAUUCCUGAAGAUAUUUUCAGUAAAUUUGUACAAUAAUGCUUUCCCUGCAUUUCUCUGCCCAAGUACUUUGGUUCAUUAACACUGUGGCUGGUAUGCCAUAGAUAUUAAGAUCUCAUUUACAGAUCAUAUGACUUUGAAAUAUUUUUUUAAUGCCAGAGAAUCAAUUACUUGCAUUUAAGAAACAAAAAAUUACAGGAUGGCCAUUUAUUAGAAUACAAGAGUAAAUCAGCAAUCAGCUAAUUUUUUUUUUUUUGUGUCUGUCUUGUGUAUAUUUUGGCCCCAGGGCUGGCUCUGACAUUAUAAGAACAUAAUAUAGCCAGUGUGUUUGUGACUGGUUGGAGAGUAUCAGUUGCUACCAAAAAAAUCCAUUUACACUGAAUUCUGCGAGAGUAGUAUUUAAGUAGUCUGAAUUUACAAUCUCUAUCUUCUAUUCAGCAAUUUAGAUAGGAAAUUAAAACUUAAGGUGGGGAUAGAGAACAUGGUGACUUUUCCUGACAAGAUGUUAUUUCCUCAGUCUCAAUAAAUGGAGGCUGAGGGUCACCUGUAGCACAAACUGCCCACUUACCAAAUUACAGCCAAAACAAUGGAACUGUCCUGUGGUCUCCUGGUCUCCUCCCCAUGCUGGAGUCUGUUAGAGAUUGCCUCCUUUACCCACAACUAUUUUCAAAUUCUGCUUGUGCUUUUAAAAUAGCUCUCUAUGUAAAUUGUCUAUAUUGAGUGUAUGAGAUGGUGUGGUUUAUUUUAAAUUACUCUAUUUCCAAUUUUUCAAAUUUAGAUGGCCUAAUUAGUUACUUUAUGAUGCAGCAUGAUUGAUAAUGAUCAGAAAACAGAAGCAGCAGAUGAUAAAAUGAGAAGAGCACCUGACAAUUCUCAUGUAAGUGCUGCUACUAUACUGAAGAAAGAGGGUUUGCAAGGGGAAGAUUUCUACUAAUUAAAUUACGAGGAUUUUACUCACAAGGAAAGAAAACACUUUUUCGUUGUUUGGGUUUUUGUUUGUUUUUUUUUUUUUUUUUUUUUUUUUUUGUUACAGAAGCAAGUAUGAGAGCUGGGGAGAUGAAAAGAGAAUAAGACGACACAAAUCGAUUGUUAGUUGGAAGACAGCAUUAGAAUGUCCCUGCCUAAAUAACUUUUCCCUCUGCAAAAUUUCUUGGCAGGCUUUCUCCACUCUGAAGGCUGUGUUUAUACUUGUAAAUUAAACAUAUCUGGAAAUCUGCUUGGACACAAAGCGCAGCUGGCAUGAAAUAGCCCUCAUCUCUGCUAGUAAAUUCUCUUAUCUUCCAAAACAAGGCAGUAGGACAGAAACUGCUUGAGAACUGACCUUAGAAGGAGUCCUCACACCAGGCAGGGAAGGUGCCUCACAAAGUGCUGAUUGUCACAGCCAAGUCCCUGCCAGGUGCUGUUGUCACAGUAACUAAUAACAGGCAGCCACGCUGAAUUUGCUACUAUCACAAAGCUUGAGACUCACAGUUAUUCUGGUACCCAUAAAGGGCUAAAUAUGAUAAAAGAGGUUUUCUGCCCUGCCUCCAUCAAAAUGACUGGGUUUGCAUCUUUCUUGAAUAAUAAGACCCAUGUCAAAAGCAACAGCAGCAUAAAGGUCACUAGAAUUGGAUUGUGCUCAGGUGAAAUUACUGAAAAAAUUAUCAAGGAUAGAAUCUGUAGGGGCUAAAAAUAAAAGGAAAUAGGAGGAUGAGGUGGGUGAAGGGAACGAGGCACUGGGAUUGGUAAGGAACAGUUAAUCACAAAGCUGAAGGAGAAUAAAGGAGAAAAGAAAAAAGUCAAUUCUGAUGGAAAUUAGAAGACCUGAAAAUUAAUAUAAAUAGAACUUUUUUUGAUAGCCCAUAUCUGCUUCAUCCCUUAAAAUUCUGCAGAAUUAGAAUUGACUGAUUUUUCACAUCCUUGUAUUUGAAGCAUUUAAUUAUCAAAGCCAAACAUUACGUUUGGCCCAGUGCAAAUCUCAUAUCUGAAUUUAAUACAGGAAUAACGCUUUAAAAUCAGAAACUGCUUUGCUUAAAAUAAAAUAUGUUAAAAAAAAAACAAAAACAAACCAAACAGUACCUCCACAAAAAACCCCAACAAAUAACCCCAUGUUGGAACAAUGAUUUCAUAAUACACAUGCUUUUCAAGAUAAUUUUGUUUUCAGUACGUUGAAAAUAAAGGGAGGUGUUGUUUUUGUUUUUUGGUUUUUGGGUUUUUGGGUUUUUUUUGUGAAAGAAGCAAAGAAUAAAUUCAAAUAUGAGUUGCUAAUAUGCUGCAGCAUAAAAAAGGUAGGAAGAGCUGUGUGGAGAGGCAUCAUGUCUCUGAGCAAGGAAGUGGUAGUUUAUUGUCUAAGAAUUACUGUCUUCUACUUUCUGGAAUAUAUAUUUCUGUAAUCUGGGCAGCAAAACUUCAUUUGCUGUUUUUCUUUUUAUUUUCUCUCAGCUUACAUGUUAACAAAAUAUCUCUUUUAUUUGAAAGUUUUCCAUUAGUCAGCAUUUAACAAGUAAAGUAAGGAUUGAUACACAGUCUUCAUAAUAAAUUCAAACAUACUGAAACAGUGUAUUUCUAUUUUUAAAAUACCAGCUGCUAAGAUAAGGAGAGGGAAUAUUUUCUGAUGUUCUGGAGAAAGUGAGGCUUAGGGAAGGAAAGUACUAUGCAAGUAAAAACAUGAAGCAACAUUUUGAAAGGUAUGCAUAAUUAAUCAUGGAAAUUCUACAGAAAGCUAUGUUUAAAUUCAGUGAGGGAACACAAAAUUAAGACUAAGUGAAGCUUUUUAAGUACACAUGAAUUAAAAAAGUUUGCAUGUGGUACAGAAAGGGAACUCUGCCUUUCUGUCUGGCACUGCGGGGGUUAUUUCCCUGAGUACUUUAAUUGAUGUCAUCCACUGUAUUAAAUGGGGCCUGGCCACUGGGUAGAGGGUGAAACUAUGAAUGAGGAAUAAAUCGUUGAUUUCUGCCUUGUCAAAUGCACUGAAUAUACUUGUGCUGCUUUUCUUUUAUCUUUGGAGGAAAUGUGUCAGUUCUCUUCUUGGGCAAUACUUUUUUCAGCCUCUUUAAGUACUGUUGUAAUGCAGGUUAAAACCAGUGCAUUUAUCCUUUGUCAAUGUAUAGUAUUAGUUCUCCUUCAUAUUUGCAUUUGUAUUUACGUCCAGAUGUUAUAUGGUCACAAAACAGGUGAUUUUUAUCAAUUAGGAAAAUAGAGGAGAGGGCUGUGUGUAAGUAUAUAUAGACUUGACAUUGUUCUCCAAGUAUAUAAGUUCCAGCCAGUGGCUCUUGUGUUACUGAUUUUAUAUUCUCAGUUAAAUAUAUCGAGUUCCUAAUGAAAUCACUGGGAAUGACUCAUUUGUAUAUACAAAGUGAAAUGGGACAUUUUGCUCUUAGGUGAAGUUUCAAAAUGUAACUCAGAACUUCAAGAAUAUCAGUUAAAAAAAGAAAAAUACCUUCAAGUAAUGUAGCUUUUGAUUCUCGGUUGUAUUGUUAGAAAUCUCUUGGUCCAUUUAUGCACUACCUACAAUUGACAGAAUUGUCCACUUUAUGAUUAAAACAGUUUUUAAACUAUCUGCUUAACUGUAUCCAAGAGCAGAUGUAUACAACUCAGUGGUAAGGCAUGGCAGACUCGUGUCAUCUUUUCAUCUAAAACAUCUUUUAGGCCUUUAACCCUUUGAUAAAUUGACUGACAAAUUCUUUUGAUGGAGUGAACUCUUUUAACAACACAUAACAAUAUUAUUUUAAACAGAAUCUGCCCAUACAAGGUAUUCCUCCUCAUUUCAAAGUGGAAAAUAUUGUUUUGGUGUUUAGCUGUACAUCUGACGGGGAAAAGACGUAUGUCCUGCCCUGAUCCAUUCAAUAGUGUGCAAAGCUCUUUGUUUCCUGCUUCCUCCCCAGAGUUUCUGUAGCGUGGGUUUUUUGUUUAUUAAAGCCUAGGAGGGCAAUGAAAUAAUAUACACAAUAAUUGAAUAGUGUCUGUUUUUCAUGUAAGAGGUUUCCAUCAAAACUUAAUUUUAAACGUAAAAUUUGGCAAUGCAUCCCACUGAGCAAUGUUUGGAAUGCAUGCUACAGCAGAGCAAACAGUAUCACCCAUACUCUUAUGCAACACAAAAUUCCUGCUGGGAGCUCCUUGGCAUGGUAACUGGUGUCUGGGGCACAACACAUUACUACUUUUCUUCUUGGGCUAAGCCCAGCUACUCCAAGCUGCAAGAAGGAAUAAAGACAUUUACUAAUUACUGAUCUGCUCAAUAAAGAAACAGGAAGCAAACAAACUGCAUUUGAAAGUUCAGUGACAGACUAAAGUUCUGACACCCUCAUGGCAGGGGAAGAAAUCAACUGUAAUCUAGUCCCUGGCUGCAAGUCAGUCAUCCUCUUUUCUGUUUAAUUCAACUUUAGUAUAGAACAAUUGAAUAAUCCAAGAUAAAUGCAAGCACUAAGGAGGCUGACUCCACGUCCUGCUAUCUUUAUGUUUACAUAAAGUUGUUUUGUAUGUAUGAUGCAUUGAUUUCUUUCUUCUUUAUUCCUGCAUUUGAACAAUGUCCAGUAACUUUUGGGUCUGGAGACAACCUGUAAAUUCUUAAGCAGCUUUUUGAGUUUGAAACACAUUUCUCAAAAUCUGAAGUCUACAUAUCUGUCUUUGUUAAGGAAGUCUGAUGUAGCUCUUGUUAUCUGUGGCUCUUUUCCAACAGACCAAAAUAUUUCAACAUCAGUAUUAAAAUGAAAAACUAAAUAUAUGUUAAGCAUAGUUAAAUUUCAUUUCAUCACAUGUAAGAUUUGCUGGUGAUUUCAACUCAUGUCCCAUAUCCAGGUGGCGCUUUAACUGUACACCAUGGCUCAGUACUCUGGUUAGGCACACUCAGAGCUGAUCUGCUGAAAUGGCCUCUGGUACUUAAGGAUCUUGGCUUGACUUAUCAGUUUGAACUAGGGAUCAAAGCGAACUAUUUGGCAGUAUCAUUUCACAGGCAACUUUACAGACACCCCUGUGCAAGUAGUUGAAGCUUAGCUCUCAGAAUUAGGCAGCAGCUGAGCGAUGCUUUUGGAAAGAGGUGUCAGUGAUAAAGUUGGGUUCCUUGCCUCAUUAAGCACUUCAGUGUCUUCUGGGGACAUGUUCUGUCUCCCAGAGUGAUCACGUUUUAUGACAGCAUUUACUCCAUUACUGCAUGGUACAUUUCAUCACUGUGCAACAGCAGACAUAUCCUUCAUUAUUCAAAUACUUGACACAAAACUUGUUGACUGCUCUGAAAUAUUUUUUCUUGCCCUUCAGGCUGUCUUAUUUCUCUGUUCAAGGCUGUACAAGUACUACACUGUUAUUGCCAGACCCGUUUUCUACAAAUACAUGGGAAGGCACUAAUUGUGUCAGCAGCUUGGCUUUCUGGAACUCUCAGCCUCAGCUGCUGUGCUGGUAACUAAGUGUAAUCCAGCUGGCCAGCCAGCUUGCUGAGCUCCUGCAAGCUGAACUGCAGAUUGUACCCUCAACCUUUUACUGGCUGGCUUAAUACAACAUUGCAGGGGAGAUGGACUGUAAUGCAAUUAUCUUACAAGAAAAACUGAAGACCUAAACAUGUCUGCCUCUGCAGGGCAGUGAAAUGGAAAAUAAAGUGUCAGAUGUAUUACAUCAUGAUUGUACUUUAAAUUGCUGUUGUCAGCAAAAUAGUGAUUCCAGCCAGAUACUCAUUGCCAUGCAACAGAACACUGCUGGAGUUCUAAGUAAAAAGAAUUUUCACAUAUAGUGUAAUGGCUUCCCUCUCUUUUAUUCUAAACUUGUAUCAGUUAAUUUACUGGAAAUUUCUUGAUACUGAACAGUGUGAUGUGCCCAGAAAGCAUGCCUUCAAAAAGCUUCCUGGAAUAAAUGAGCUGACCUCUGCAGUGGGUGCUUUGGAUAGCAUAAACUAAAACUAUGAUGCCUCAGAUGUAAGUUAAAAAACUUCCAUGAGACAGUAUUAAUUAAAAAUGAACAUGUCCAUUUUAAUACUGAUUCAACUACAUACUUUUUUUCUACACUGUGUACAAAUCAAUAUGCAAGUUCUAUUUCUAGCUUAAACUCUCUUAUUUGUUUAUGCAGUGAUGACAACCCUGACUCCCUUUCACUGGUAUCUGAAUUUUUGGCCCUGACUAUUUAUGAGCUGAUAAAAGUACAGAAAUGGGAUAUUUCAGAGCAACAAGAAAACAUAAUAAUAAAGUUUCCAGCCUCUUUUUCUUGGAUGUAAUGAGCUGGACCACAUCUCAAAAAUCCAUGAAGUGAUAGGCACUCCUGGUAACAAAACUCCAAAAUUUCAAGCACUUGCUUAACACAGGUCAAGAAUUUUGAGUUUUGAAUCCUCCCUUUAAAGAAAGGAAAAGGAAAGUCUUCUCUUGUGCACAAAUUAAAGGUUUCUAUUUCCUGUGUGCAAUGAUAAAAUAUGACCCCAAUGAGAGAACUGCUGCCCAUCAAACCUUAAAGCACCUUUAUUUUCAAGAACUCUGGCAAGUGACUUCAAAUCACUUCAGUUUUGAAGACUAAAGUCAAAAGUCUGAGAAACAGAAGGCACUUCAGUCUUCCCUGAAACAUUUCCAUUUGCCUGCUAUACAAGGAAUAGGAGUGAGGAAAAGCCUGGCUAUGCAGUGAGAGAGACCCAGUCAUGCUUCUGUUGUUGGAGAUCUAACAAGAACAGUAGUGCCUGAUUUUGUCUUGCUCUGACAAUUUGCAGGAAAACCCCACAAGGUUUGAGGGCUGGUUUCCUACCAUUUUGAUAUUAUGUUCCUGAAGGGGGUCAAUAUUUAAUAAAAGCAUUGUUCUGGCAGAGCACAGAGAGUGUUCUGCAUUGAACUUCCUAAGUACUUGUUCCUUUUAUAACCUGGUGGAGGAGGAGGUUGGUUAAAAAUAACAUGAAAGGAUUCUUUGAGCUCAAGUAUUAGGAAUGGAAUGUUAUCUACAGAAUUUAAGUUUUCAAACUGUAUAACAAAUGACAGCUAACUGCUGUAUUUUUUUUUUUUUAGAUUCAAGGGUUUGGGUUUUUUUCAGUUAGCUCUGGAAAUUAUUCACCCCCUGUAUUCAAUAACUUCCACCUCAGGUUUUACUGAAAAUGUGCAAAUUGUUCAAUCAUAAGAGAUACUUGAUUUUAAUGCAGUUUCCCUAACUGCUGACUAUUUUUAUGUAACUAUAAUCUAAUUCAAAGCUAAACCAACUUUUUAGCUGAUUGAAAAGUAAGUAAGACUUAGUCAUAGUUUGCUUCAAGCCAUGGAUCUUAACAUUAAUCAAAAGUCUUAACAGGGCCUGAUAUUGCAGCCAGUUGCUUAAAAGAGCAGUAAAAGCACAUAACUGGUCACACUUCAGAAAUUUGGCACACAGAUCACCGGCAACAAUUUAACAGAAUAUUUCCUAUUAUUAAAUAAAGAGUUAAAAGGCAACAUCCUUAUCUUACUAGGAAAGAAUCUUUAUUCCAAACUGGUAUAAUUGAUUUUAAAAUUCCUGAGAUCUAAAAGCUUGCAUUAAAUAAUUUGCAAUGCUUACAUUUGGUGAUGUGUUAGAGAACAUUUGGUUAUUUAGAAAAUGAAAGUCUGUGCAAGUCAUACUUGGCUGGGGGUUAAAAAUCUUCUGCUACCAAGUGUGUAUGCAAGACAGGUUUGGCAAAUAACUUUUUUGGAGGUUUUAAUUAGUUUAAAUUAUACACUUCAUGGGAAGUGAUCAUUUUUUUCCACAACCAAACAUUGAGCUCUGGUGCUGCUGUUCAAAAGCCCAGCCAUGAGCAGGAGGCAAAGAGCAUUUAGUGUGAGAGGUACUGCUGCAGGGAGACACCAUGGAAAAUGGGGCACUGGGGAGAAGUACAUCACAUCCAAGUCACUUAGUCAACCCUUAGGCAUCAAUUUGAGAUUUGUGCUCUAGAUCCAGACUAAACAGUUAUUCUAACCAAUUAAGAUACACAAUGCAGUAAAAUACAGGUUAACAUAAAGAUCCUGUAAGAGAAAAAUGAAGCCUGUUAUGUUCACAGUUCUCCUUCUGAGACUCCACAGGGCUGUGUAUUUGUGAAAACAAUUAUUCUUCUCACUCAUUUGAGCUCUUCCAGUAAGCAGGCUUUUUGCUGUGGUUUGUUAAUUGGUUGAUUGUUUUUGUAAGAAGAGGCAUCUCAACACUUGUAGGGUUCUGUUGUGACUGGAUUAGAGCCUAAUCCUUGUUCAGGUUAACUGUGGACAACUUUGAGCAUGCCCAAAUUCCACACUGUAGCUUUUCUGUGUGGAGAAGCUCAUUAGACUCAAGUUCUUUAUGAGUCUUUUUGACAUCUACUGCUUAAAAGCACUUGUCUAACUUACGUUUGUCUUCAUGUUUAGAAGAUGGUAUUAUCACAUACUAUACUGAGGAUCAAUGUGACAUUUGUAAGGAGAUUCUUGAAAAUGUGAAAAUAGUCACAGGGUAAAUGUGGUGCAGACUGUGGGAGUAUUUGAUAUUGAUUCAAAUUUGACUAUCCAAGUUAAAUAUCAUGCACCUGCAUCAUGUACCAUUGCUCAAUUUAUGUCAUUUCUUCAUAGCAAACUUUCAGAAUCUCAGUAGCAAGAAUGGAAACAUAUCCCAGCCUUGGCAAGAAUUUGUAUAGAAUAAGACUAAAGCACUUGAACAAGGCUCUGCAGGGAAACCUCUACUGCUUCUACUUGCACUAGGCGUGCCAAAGGAAGAGCAGAUUUCUCUUACUAGGACUGAACAAAUAUGUGAGCAGUGUUUUGGUGGAGAAGUGCUUUACACCAGUAGAGUAAGAACACUGUAACAAAGGGAAACAGCAGAACACAACAGUACAGUUAACUGCUCCUUUUCAUUUUACUGAAACUCCUACUGCAUGGAUGCUGCUUUCCUCCAGCUCCAAGCAAAAAGUGUUCUCCUGAACACAGUAUCUCAAAGUGCAGUGAAGAUAUGUAACCACAGUGACUGGCUGAGGUUUCCUGCUCUGUUUCACUGAAUCAUCUCCCCACAUCUGUAUGCUUUCAUGUUAGCAGCUCAUACUGAUAGAACAGAGAAAGUCAACAAUAAGGCAAUACAGUAUUUGUCUGAAGACUUACCAUAGGGAUUCUUUACAGACAGACAUAUUUGUGAAAGGUAUGAUGCUGCACUUAGAAAAUGAAAUUAAGGACCGCAGGUCUAUAGGCAGGCAACACAAUGCAACAGUAACAUCGAAGUUCUUACCUUUGGAACACUGAGCAACAGGUACCAUGAGCUUAUCCAGUGUUUUUUCCAGAGAGGAAGAUGGUGAGUUGCUUAGUCUGAUAUAUUUGUAAUUCAGCAUAAUGAGUGGCAUUCAAAUUGAUGGUUUAAAAAUAGGUAACUAACUGGAUCCAAGGGAUCUUAUGCUCCACUGUUAUUAAUUUCUUAUAUAAAAAAAGGGACAAAUCCUACUACCCACAUUUGAUGGAUUGUUCUGACUCAGAUCUCCCUUACCUAGCACUAUACAGGAGGUCAAAGCUCAGAUUAUCAAAACUAUGUUCCUGAUGGAGAUAUAUUUAUUCUGUUUGUUGCUUCUUAUCAGUUUUUGGCAGCCUCAAAUCACAGAUGCUGAAGUUUAAGUAUUUUAACUAAAAAACAUAAAAUUCCAUCAAACUGUGCUUGCACAUGGUACUUUUCUGAUUCCAAAAGUGUUAUUGCCUCUGUUUGCUUCCUAAUUAAUAUAUCAGGUAGGUGAUUAUUCAUACACCAGGAAAAAGAUGAAGUCAGAAUUUUUGUAAGUUUUAACCUGGAAAGAAAGGGCUACCAGGGUAACAUCUUGUGUAUUAUCACAUUCUGUGUAUCUGGGGCUGUCAGACUGUUAUAAUGAGAAUAGCAAUUUCAUGUUUCAUUUUUGCUAUAAAAUUGAAAACCUGAAGCGAAGAGCCACAUUGGAAUUUUUCUUCAUUUUUUUUUACCCUUUCAGGUGGAUCUUACUCAGUUUGGCACAUACAAUACUUCAAGGAUAUUGAUUUCCUAACAAGUUCUUUGCUGUUAAACCUCUGGAGACAACUUACACUUCUCUGGCUGUUGGAUGAAUAGGCAAACUUGUGUUUCCCAUCUGCUUUAUAGUUAAAAUACACCCAAACUUUAAACUACAAACUGGCAAGGAUGGUCCCACCCUCAUUCUUCCAGCUAAAAUUCCAUACUGAGAUUAUCUGUGUUCCGCUUACUUUUAAUUAUUUUUUUUAAUGUAGUAGGAAAAAUAUUUUAUUAAAAGUUGCAUCUACAGUAGAGUUCGUAAGUUCCUUCCAGGUAAGUUAUUAGUACCCUGUUUCUUACUAAAAUAAUUUUUUUUCCAUAUAGAACAGAGUGUGGUAUGGACAAUUUAAGCUUCUAGGUGAUUGCCCUAAUAGUAAAGAAGAGGCUGAAAAAAGAAAACCCACACACAUUCCUUGUGUGCUGCUGGACUACAAUUUGUGGCAGGGACAUACCCUGCCAACAUGGAUGUGAGUAGCUGCUGUUGUUCCCCUGAUGCUGGAUAUUGCAAUUCUUCCCCUACUGGUUUGUAUUUUUCCAGCUGAAGGAAAAAAAAGUCUUUUAAAAAGUUACUGCAUAUUUUUUCAGCUAUGUUAUUUUGACUCAGACCAUAUGAAGCACUUAUAUAGAAGUCGUCUACGGGGAGAUAACUACAUGAGUUUUCAGUGAUGAGGUUUAUCUGUAUUUUAACAGUUAAACCCACUAUGUUAAUAAAACAAAACUUCUGAAAAAUAA